rnacentral:lncRNA from 1 species
GAAAUCCAUUUCUGACUCGGAGGAGACAUCCUGUUUACUCAACAGAAGACAGCUGAAUGGUUCCAGUCUUUCAGUCCUGCUCCUGGCCAACACUGGACCUCUCAAAGUCUAGCCAACUCCUCUUCCAGCGCCUUGAUAAACAACCCCCUCAUGCUGGGAACCACAGCAGUGGGCUGUUUUUCUCCCUCAUGCACCCCAGGAAGCCUCUCCUCUUUGCCUGGGCUUUCUUCCCAAGGCCUUAGCUGCCAACCCAUUUUACACCCAUGCGAAGCCCAGUCAGUCACCUGAAGAAAAGGAGACUCACAGAAGGCCCAAGAUGAAAGACUCUUUAAUCCUGUGGCUUUUUGAGUUUUGUUUUUAGCAGGAAGACCUUAUUUUCAAAACAAAUUGUUACACAGAAUUUGCCAGUUUACAGAACAGAUGAAUAAAGACAUUUAUGGCAGACUUGUUUAUUGUAGCACAACACUGGAAAGACACGAAAAGUCCAUCAGUAAGGAACAGAUUUAAUAAGAUGAUGGUGAAGUCAUACAAUGGAAUACUAUUCUGCUGUCUAAAAGCGUGAGGCACCUCCCAACAAUAAUAGCACAAGUUCUGAGAAAAUCUUUACUUUAUAUGGACAGUAUUUGGUUAACAGUUCCAUUUUAGGGCAAAGACCAAGAUUACUACUUGUUUUGUUAAAAUGUGCCACCUCCUAUUCAAACUUGUCCAAUGUUUAUUUGGAACUUAAAUAUGGUGACCAAAUAUCCCAGUUUGCUUAGAACUGAAGGGUUUCCUGGGAUAUAGGACUUUAAGUGCUAAAACGGAAAAUUCCAGGCAAAGGAAUGAGUUGGUCACCCUAUACUUAACAGAAGUCAACAUGUUAUUUUAGAAAGAAUAGGUAGAUUAUUAUUACUAAUUUUAGCCCAUGUUAAUAAGCCAAUAUAUUCACAAAUAAAACAACCAGUAUUUGUACUUUACUUAUUUAUUUUUAUUUAAUUUUUUUGAAACAGAGUCACACUCUGUUGCCCAGGCUGGAGUGCAAUGGUGGGAUCUCGGCUUACUGCAACCUCCGCCUCCCAGGUUCAAGCGAUUCUCCUGCCUCAGCCUCCCGAGUAGCUGGGAUUACAGGCAUGUGCCACCAGGCCCAGCUAAUUUUUAUAUCUUUAGUAGAGAUGGGGUUUCACCAUGUUGGUCAGGCUGGUCUCGAACUCCUGACCUCAUGAUCUGCCCACCUCGGCCUCCCAAAGUGCUGGGAUUACAGGCAUGAGCUACCACACCCGGCCAGUAUUUGUACUUUAAAUACGAGGGCAAAACCAUAUGAACUGAUACGAAACAUGAAACUAUCUCAAGGUGCAGUAAAAAGUGGGGGAAAAGGCAAGUACAGAACAGUGAACUGAGUGUGCUCUCAUUUUUUUAAGUUCUUUACUCUCUCUUUCCCCCACCCCCAAAGGUCAGAGCAGGGGGGGAUUUGUCCACAUAAUAAAAUGAAGUUUGUGACUUGUCUACUCCAUCAUAAGAAAAUAGCUGGGCUGAUUUUCACCAAACUUGGAGGAUAUACUUGGGGUGGUCUGACUUAAAUACAGAUUGUUUGGCAUAUGAAAAUUGAUCCUAGUAACCCUUCCUCCUGGAGAGGAAACUUGAAGAGAUAAGCAGCCACUCCCCAAAGCUGACGCUAGUUUAACAGACAAGGCCUAUGAGAUCACCAAUCAGAAAAGACUAACCAGGCCGGACAUGGUGGCUCAUGCCUGUAAUUCUAGUACUUUGGGAGGCCGAGGCGGGCAGAUCACCUGAGGUCAGGAGUU